CCUACGGGUGGCUGCAGUAAGGAAUAUUGCGCAAUGGGCGACAGCCUGACGCAGCGACGCCGCGUGGGGGAUGAAGGUCUUCGGAUUGUAAACCCCUUUCGGCAGGGAAGAUGGAACGGGUAACCGUUCGGACGGUACCUGCAGAAGCAGCCACGGCUAACUUCGUGCCAGCAGCCGCGGUAAUACGAAGGUGGCAAGCGUUGUUCGGAUUUACUGGGCGUACAGGGAGCGUAGGCGGUUGGGUAAGCCCUCCGUGAAAUCUCCGGGCCUAACCCGGAAAGUGCGGAGGGGACUGCUCGGCUAGAGGAUGGGAGAGGAGCGCGGAAUUCCCGGUGUAGCGGUGAAAUGCGUAGAGAUCGGGAGGAAGGCCGGUGGCGAAGGCGGCGCUCUGGAACAUUUCUGACGCUGAGGCUCGAAAGCGUGGGGAGCAAACAGGAUUAGAUACCCUUGUAGUC
rnacentral:rRNA from 1 species